GGGGGCCGAGGCACUGUCCGAGAGUGAGUAGCAGGUCUCACAGUGAACCGGUCUCUUU
rnacentral:pre_miRNA from 1 species